UCCUACGGGAGGCAGCAGUGGGGAAUAUUGCACAAUGGAGGAAACUCUGAUGCAGCGACGCCGCGUGAACGAUGAAGGCCUUCGGGUCGUAAAGUUCUGUCCUGGGGGACGAUAAUGACGGUACCCCAGGAGGAAGCCCCGGCUAACUACGUGCCAGCAGCCGCGGUAAUACGUAGGGGGCGAGCGUUGUCCGGAAUUAUUGGGCGUAAAGGGUUCGUAGGCGGUUUUUUAAGUCAGAUGUGAAAGGUCACGGCUCAACCGUGGUAAGCAUUUGAAACUGAAAGACUUGAGUUAAGGAGAGGAAAGUGGAAUUCCUAGUGUAGCGGUGAAAUGCGUAGAUAUUAGGAGGAAUACCAGUGGCGAAGGCGGCUUUCUGGACUUGUACUGACGCUGAGGAACGAAAGCGUGGGGAGCAAACAGGAUUAGAUACCCUGGUAGUCCACGCCGUAAACGAUGAGUGCUAGGUGUUGGGGGUCAAACCUCGGUGCCGCAGCUAACGCAUUAAGCACUCCGCCUGGGGAGUACGUACGCAAGUAUGAAACUCAAAGGAAUUGACGG
rnacentral:rRNA from 1 species